rnacentral:rRNA from 1 species
AUGCAGGGGGUACUUAGCAAAUGGGCGCAAAAGGAGUUCUGUUCUGUACAAAACAGAAUAAAGUCGCUUAAAGAUGCUCUCAAGGGCUUCCGUAUGCUACAUCAAACUCCCGAAAUCGAAGAGAAGAUGAGGCGAACAGAAUCUGAAUUAGAUGAAUGGCUUUACAGGGAGGAGAUGAUGUGGAGACAACGGUCUCGGAUAACCUGGUUAAGGGAAGGGGAUAGGAACACGGAAUUCUUCCACCUCAAAGCAACCUGGCCCAGAAAGAAAAAUAAAAUAACAAAACUGAAACGUGAGGAUGGAAGUUGGGAGAGAAAACAGAGGAAAUACAUGGGGAGAUAA